rnacentral:rRNA from 1 species
GUUUGAUCCUGGCUCAGAUUGAACGCUGGCGGCAUGCUUUACACAUGCAAGUCGAACGGUAACGCGGGGGCAACCCUGGCGACGAGUGGCGAACGGGUGAGUAAUACAUCGGAACAUAUCCAGUAGCGGGGGAUAACCUAUCGAAAGAUGGACUAAUACCGCAUACGAUCUACGGAUGAAAGCAGGGGACCGCAAGGCCUUGCACUAUUGGAGUGGCCGAUGUCGGAUUAGCUAGUUGGUGAGGUAAAGGCUUACCAAGGCGACGAUCCGUAGCUGGUCUGAGAGGACGAUCAGCCACACUGGAACUGAGACACGGUCCAGACUCCUACGGGAGGCAGCAGUGGGGAAUUUUGGACAAUGGGCGCAAGCCUGAUCCAGCCAUGCCGCGUGAGUGAAGAAGGCCUUCGGGUUGUAAAGCUCUUUCGGUGAAGACGAAACGGUUCGUGCUAAUAACGCGGACUAAUGACGGUACUCACAGAAGAAGCACCGGCUAACUACGUGCCAGCAGCCGCGGUAAUACGUAGGGUGCAGGCGUUAAUCGGAAUUACUGGGCGUAAAGCGUGCGCAGGCGGUUUGCUAAGACAGGUGUGAAAUCCCCGGGCUUAACCUGGGAAUUGCGCUUGUAACUGGCAAGCUAGAGUGUAGCAGAGGGGGGUGGAAUUCCACGUGUAGCAGUGAAAUGCGUAGAUAUGUGGAGGAACACCGAUGGCGAAGGCAGCCCCCUGGGUUAACACUGACGCUCAUGCACGAAAGCGUGGGGAGCAAACAGGAUUAGAUACCCUGGUAGUCCACGCCCUAAACUAUGUCAACUAGUUGUCGGGGAAGAAAUUCCUUGGUAACGAAGCUAACGCGUGAAGUUGACCGCCUGGGGAGUACGGCCGCAAGGUUAAAACUCAGAGGAAUUGACGGGGACCCGCACAAGCGGUGGAUUAUGUGGAUUAAUUCGAUGCAACGCGAAAAACCUUACCUACCCUUGACAUGCUAGGAAGCCCGCAGAGAUGUGGGUGUGCCCGAAAGGGAACCUAGACACAGGUGCUGCAUGGCUGUCGUCAGCUCGUGUCGUGAGAUGUUGGGUUAAGUCCCGCAACGAGCGCAACCCUUCCAUUAGUUGCUACAUUCAGUUGGGCACUCUAAUGGGACCGCCGGUGACAAACCGGAGGAAGGUGGGGAUGACGUCAAGUCCUCAUGGCCCUUAUGGGUAGGGCUUCACACGUAAUACAAUGGUCGGUACAGAGGGCUGCCAACCCGCAAGGGGGAGCUAAUCCCAGAAAGCCGAUCGUAGUCCGGAUUGUAGUCUGCAACUCGACUGCAUGAAGCCGGAAUCGCUAGUAAUCGCGGAUCAGCAUGUCGCGGUGAAUACGUUCCCGGGUCUUGUACACACCGCCCGUCACACCAUGGGAGUGUGUUCCACCAGAAGUAGUUAGCCUAACCGCAAGGAGGGCGAUUACCACGGUGAGAUUCAUGACUGGGGUGAAGUCGGAACAAGGUA